rnacentral:miRNA from 11 species
ACGCGUAUUCUUGGGUUAUUAAC